rnacentral:rRNA from 1 species
AACGAACGCUGGCGGCAUGCCUAACACAUGCAAGUCGAACGAGACCUUCGGGUCUAGUGGCGCACGGGUGCGUAACGCGUGGGAACCUGCCCUUAGGUUCGGAAUAACUCCCCGAAAGGGGUGCUAAUACCGGAUAAUGUCUUCGGACCAAAGAUUUAUCGCCUUUGGAUGGGCCCGCGUUGGAUUAGCUAGUUGGUAGGGUAAAAGCCUACCAAGGCGACGAUCCAUAGCUGGUCUGAGAGGAUGAUCAGCCACACUGGGACUGAGACACGGCCCAGACCCCUACGGGAGGGAGGCAGGGGGAAAAAUGGAACAAGGGCCAAAGCCUUGACCAGCCAUGGCCGGUUAAUGAUUAAAGCCUUAGGGUUUUUAAGGUUCUUUUCCCGGGAAUAUAAAGACCGUAACCGGAGAAUAAGGCCCGGCCUACUUCGUU